UAGCUAGUUGGUGAGGUAAAGGCUUACCAAGGCGACGAUCUGUAGCGGGUCUGAGAGGAUGAUCCGCCACACUGGAACUGAGACACGGUCCAGACUCCUACGGGAGGCAGCAGUGGGGAAUUUUGGACAAUGGGGGCAACCCUGAUCCAGCCAUGCCGCGUGAGUGAAGAAGGCCUUCGGGUUGUAAAGCUCUUUCGGCCGGGAAGAAAUCGCAUGGGCCAAUACCCUGUGUGGAUGACGGUACCGGAAUAAGAAGCACCGGCUAACUACGUGCCAGCAGCCGCGGUAAUACGUAGGGUGCGAGCGUUAAUCGGAAUUACUGGGCGUAAAGCGUGCGCAGGCGGUUUUGUAAGACAGGCGUGAAAUCCCCGGGCUUAACCUGGGAACUGCGUUUGUGACUGCAAGGCUAGAGUACGGCAGAGGGGGGUGGAAUUCCACGUGUAGCAGUGAAAUGCGUAGAGAUGUGGAGGAACACCAAUGGCGAAGGCAGCCCCCUGGGUCGAUACUGACACUCAUGCACGAAAGCGUGGGUAGCAAACAGGAUUAGAUACCCUGGUAGUCCACGCCCUAAACUAUGUCAACUAGGUGUUGGGUGGGUAAAACCAUUUAGUACCGUAGCUAACGCGUGAAGUUGACCGCCUGGGGAGUACGGCCGCAAGGUUAAAACUCAAAGGAAUUGACGGGGACCCGCACAAGCGGUGGAUGAUGUGGAUUAAUUCGAUGCAACGCGAAAAACCUUACCUACCCUUGACUUGCCAGGAACUUGCCAGAGAUGGCUUGGUGCCCGAAAGGGAGCCUGGACACAGGUGCUGCAUGGCUGUCGUCAGCUCGUGUCGUGAGAUGUUGGGUUAAGUCCCGCAACGAGCGCAACCCUUGUCGUUAAUUGCCAUCAUUUAGUUGGGCACUUUAACGAGACUGCCGGUGACAAACCGGAGGAAGGUGGGGAUGACGUCAAGUCCUCAUGGCCCUUAUGGGUAGGGCUUCACACGUCAUACAAUGGUCGGUACAAAGGGUUGCCAAGCCGCGAGGCGGAGCCAAUCCCAGAAAGCCGAUCGUAGUCCGGAUUGCAGGCUGCAACUCGCCUGCAUGAAGUCGGAAUCGCUAGUAAUCGUGGAUCAGCAUGUCACGGUGAAUACGUUCCCGGGUCUUGUACACACCGCCCGUCACACCAUGGGAGCGGGUUCCGCCAGAAGUAGGUAGCCUAACCGCAAGGGGGGCGCUUACCACGGCGGGGUUCGUGACUGGGGUGAAGUCGGAACAAGGUAGCCGUAGGGGAACCUGCGGCUG
rnacentral:rRNA from 1 species